UACGUAGGGUGCAAGCGUUAAUCGGAAUUACUGGGCGUAAAGCGUGCGCAGGCGGUUUUAUAAGACAGAUGUGAAAGCCCUUGGCUCAACUGAGGAAGUGCCUCCGAAACUGGCAAGCUAGAGUACUAAAGAGGGUCGCGGAAUUCCCGGUGUAGAGGUGAAAUUCGUAGAUAUCGGGAGGAACACCGGUGGCGAAGGCGGCGACCUGGGUAGAUACUGACGCUGAGGUGCGAAAGCGUGGGGAGCAAACAGG
rnacentral:rRNA from 1 species